CGAAAGCCUGACGGAGCAAUACCGCGUGAGGGAUGAAUGCCUAUGGGUUGUAAACCUCUUUUUUCAGGGAGGAACAAAAUGACGUGUACCUGAAGAAUGAGCAUCGGCUAACUCCGUGCCAGCAGCCGCGGUAAGACGGAGGAUGCAAGUGUUAUCCGGAAUCACUGGGCGUAAAGCGUCUGUAGGUGGUUUAAUAAGUCAACUGUUAAAUCUCGAGGCUCAACCUCGAAAUCGCAGUCGAAACUAUUAGACUAGAGUAUAGUAGGGGUAAAGGGAAUUUCCAGUGGAGCGGUGAAAUGCGUAGAGAUUGGAAAGAACACCGAUGGCGCAGGCACUUUACUGGGCUAUUACUAACACUGAGAGACGAAAGCUAGGGUAGCA
rnacentral:rRNA from 1 species